UUCGCAAUGCCCGAAAGGGUGACGAUGCCACUCCGCGUGAGCGAAGAAGGCCCUAGGGUUGUAAAGCUCUGUCGAGGGUUAUGAAAUAUAGAUGGGUUAAUACCCCAUUUAUUUGACAAAAGCCCAAAAGGAAGCCACGGCUAACUCUGUGCCAGCAGCCGCGGUAAUACAGAGGUGGCGAGCGUUGUUCGGUAUUAUUGGGCGUAAAGAGCACGUAGGUGGUUUUGUAAGUCAGGUGUGAAAGCCUUCUGUUCAAAGGAAGAACGGCAUCUGAAACUGCAGAUCUUGAGUGUAGGAGGGGAGAGUGGAACUUCUGGUGGAGCGGUGAAAUGCGUAGAUAUCAGAAGGAACGUCGGCGGCGAAAGCGACUCUCUGGCCUAUUACUGACACUGAGUGUGCGAAAGUUAGGGGAGCAAACGGGAUUAGAUACCCCGGUAGUCCUAGCCGUAAACGAUGGGCACUAAGUAGAGGGGUUUU
rnacentral:rRNA from 1 species